UCCUCCCUUUUCCAGCUUCUAGAGAAGGCACGGUGGGAACACUGAGGCUUCAACAGUCCUGUGCCUCUAGACCAGGAAGUGUCUGUCUAUCUGUCCUUAUUCAGUUCCACCCAACUCCUGCUGUGUUUGGAAGUCUUCUCACACACUUCCAGCUCCAUCCCUGAUUCCUGAGGAUCAACACCAUCAUUCAACUCUGCUCUGGCAAGAGAGGAGAGACAGUGUCUGCUGGCCUGGGAUGUGACUCAAGGGAGCAACCCUUGCCUAGCAUGUCUGAGGAGGCAUGCCAUCCACCCACCUCUCACAAGGAGUCAGAGGACCUCCAAAGAAAGACUGUAUUUACAAGGUCCAGACAGGAAGGACAACACCCAGCCUCCCUGACCCCCCCCUCCCUGUCACCAGAGCCACACCUGUGGGCAGUGUAUUUGUCUUGGUCCUUAGUUUUCUCUGACUCAUGAGUCUAACUGAGCUUUCUCUGUCUUUUAACCCAUCUUUUCCGCAGCUAUAGCUUUAGAGGUGACCUGCAAAUCCAGCUAGGUCCUGUCCGUAAUCCCAACCCCGGAGCAUGUGAACAGACUAAAACCCCUGAUGAAGUAACACUGGAUGUGAACGCCUCGUUCUCCAAAGGUUUCUUUCUAAAAUCUGGGAAAUUCUCUCUCCGUCCCUUCUCCUUCUCUCAGUCUCUCUCUGUGUGUCUGACUCUGUCUCUCUGUGUGCCUCUGUCCUUACUUCUCUGUCUCCCCACCCUCGCCUGCUCAGCUUGUUUGAGGGAAAGAAACCACACAAUGGAGGCUUUCCACACUCUACUCGAAAGAGGCCAGAGGUAGAAGCAGAUUCUUGCUGCAGCUCUGGUGCCAACAGCUGGCUUGGCAGAAAUGUUCACAGCCAGGUUUUCAGGUUCCAGUAACCACUAUGAAAAGGCUCUUGCAAACAUCUCCUUCUGAGGCCUCCAGCCAAAAAGAGUGGGGACCUUUGAUCCUGUCCGGAGCCAAAAGGACAGGAGGAUGGAAAGGAGACAGGCCAGGGUGCUGGCUAGGACUUCAGCCGGCUGUGUUUGUCCAGAGUCUCUGCACUGAGCAACUUGCCAGGCCGUCCUGGGCCAGUGCCAUGGUGAGCUGGGUUUCAGAGCAGUUGCCUGCACAUUGGACCACACUGUUGUCAGGGAAGGGUUGGGCUGCUCGAAGAAGCCCAGUGAGAGGCUGGCACCCUCUUCAGGAGCCCCUGCUCUUCUCAUAAGAACGUCUUACCUUGACUUUUGGAUGGAAGCUUCCCCAGAUGGAUGGGAGUUUGUUUUCCUCUCUCCAAACUCCUCUAUUCAUAAACACGAUGUUUGAGGGAAAUCAAGACACCAAGAGGUCUGCUGUGGUGGCCACAGAGUCUCACUCAGAGAGCAGUAGAUGAUGGGUAGCUUUGUCCAAACUGCUUCCCUCACAGGCUCUGGAUAGAACCCAGUCGCACUUCUCCCUUUCCCAUCCCCCAACUCUCUCCUCUCCUCCCUUGGCCUCAGAGUUCACACUGGUGCAGGUAAGUGGACAAGAGGCCUUCGCUGUUUAGGGAUGUUUCUCAUACAGGGCAUUCAGGACCCCUCCCUGUUCACAGAGGGCUGAAGGGAGGCCUGUUUUCUUCACUAAAUUGUCUCAAGAUGAGGGCCCACACUUGUGGCUCGCUGGAGACGAUGCCCUGGAUGCAAACCCACCCACCACACACACACACACACAUUGCUCCAUCCUGACAGAUGCAGAUGUGGAGUCCGUCUGAUCUGAUUAUCCCACUGACCUGUGUUCAGCAACACCUGCUCCUCAGGAGUGGAGCUAAUCCUGUGUACGCAGGCCCUCCCUGACAUCUGGGGAUGGACAGAAGCCAAGAAAACCACGGGCACACUGAUAGAGCCAUCGAAGCUCUCUGUCAGGGGAAGAGUGGUGACCAGCAAGGACAACAGCCUCUUCCCUGGCUCUUUCACAGCUGACCCUGUCCCAACAGCCAAGCUUGGCUGCAGACAUUUGUACCAUGAACAGGUCCCAGCCACUGCCAGAGCUUCCUCAAGGUGUCUCAGGACUGAAGGAUCCUACUGCAAUGCUAACUGGUACAGGCAUUCUGCUGUUUCCAGACACACAGACUCUCCCUGGCACCAUUGGGUCCCACAUGGCUCCACCUGUAGUCACCCACACUUCUGUUCUCCAUCCCACGCCAGCUUGAUACUGGUCAGCGUGGUCUUGAAGCCACUGUUUCUUUGUCCCUCUCUGCUAACUUCUUCUGUUGCCUAUGCCAUACCAGACAGCUCAGGAGCAAAGUGACCUUCUUCAGGCUAGACCUGCCAGUCCCCCAUCCUCAGAGCAAUAGCCUAGCGAAUGGCCAGAAUACCACCCUCUUCUCUGGCCCUGAGGGAGUCUCUGCCCCUGACUGUGCGAGAGAGAUGAGAUUAGGAAGGCAGAGCUAAGAAGAGAGGCGCACAUGGAUCAACAGCUUCUGUAUCCCCAACUCAGGACCAGCUGCCUGGGACAAGCAGCAGGCAGGGACAUGUGACUAGUGUUUACACUAGCGAGGGACACAGGAUCAGUGCCUGUACCGCCCUGCACCAGCCUGCUGCAUCUGCCCUGUGCUGCACAGCCUGACACCUUCCCUGAGUUUGCACCAGCCAGGGACACCUGGUCUAUACCUAUGCCAAUCUGAGACAUUUGUCCUGUGCCUGCAUCAGCUUGUGACACUUGCUCUAUUUCUGUGCCAGCCUAUGACUCUAACCUGCACCUACCCAAGCCUGUGACACCUGCUAUGUGCCUAUACCAGCUUGUGCCCUGAACCUUGCCAGCCUGUAAUACCUGACCUAUAACUGCAAUAGCCUGUGACAGCUGCUCCAUACCUCUUUUAGACUGAGAUACCUGCUCUGUCCCCCUGCCACAGCCUGCGGCACUAUCCUGCACCAGCCCCAUCCUGACAUCUGCUCUGUACCUGUGGCAGUCUGUGAUACCAGCCCUGUGUCUGCAACACCAUGGAACAGUUACCAACAGCUUCGACAUCUUCUGCUGUAUGAAUGCCAGCAGUGACACUUCCUGGGCUCCUGUCCCAGCCUGUGAUGCCUGCCGUGUGCCUAUCAUAGCCCGUGACACUUUCAGUUCACCUGCACUCUCCAGGAAUUCCUGCCCUGUGCUUGGUCCAUACCAUAGCACCUGUCCUGUGUGUGUCCCAGCCUGUGACACUGACAGUGUACCUUUGUCUGGAUGUGACAUCUGCAACAGCCAGUGUUACCAAUGGUGAGAUAAACCUGCACCUACCUGGUGCUCUGGUCCUCUGGAGGAUGCAUUCUGGAAGGGAGGGGAGGCAAGAAGGCAGGCAUGGGGUGUAGGCAGAAUUGGAUCCCAAAGACUCACUCUGACACUGGAGUGUUUGGGGGCUAUGUUUUGUUGCCAGUGUCAAAGUGGAUUCCUAGACCCACUCCUAUACAUGGGUAGCUGGUGUGUCUGUGGUACUCCACUCCACUCCACUCCAUCUUUAGCAAAGGCCCCCUGCUUGGUGUGAAGGUUCUA
rnacentral:lncRNA from 1 species